rnacentral:rRNA from 1 species
CGCGUAGGCGGUCUUGUCGGUCAGAUGUGAAAGCCCAGGGCUCAACCCUGGACGUGCAUUUGAAACAGCAAGACUUGAGUACGGGAGAGGAGAGCGGAAUUCCUGGUGUAGAGGUGAAAUUCGUAGAUAUCAGGAGGAACACCGAUGGCGAAGGCAGCUCUCAGGACCGAUACUGACGCUGAGGCGCGAAGGCGUGGGUAGCGAACAGGAUUAGAUACCCUGGUAGUCC